AUACGGAGGGGGCUAGCGUUAUCCGGAAUCAUUGGGUUUAAAGGGUCCGUAGGCGGGCGAUUAAGUCAGAGGUGAAAUCCCACAGCUCAACUGUGGAACUGCCUUUGAUACUGGUUGUCUUGAGUUACAGUGAAGUAGAUAGAAUGUGUAGUGUAGCGGUGAAAUGCAUAGAUAUUACACAGAAUACCGAUUGCGAAGGCAGUCUACUAACUGUAUACUGACGCUAAUGGACGAAAGCGUGGGGAGCGAACAGGAUUAGAAACCCCAGUAGUCC
rnacentral:rRNA from 1 species